rnacentral:misc_RNA from 1 species
GAAGAUAUGGAACAUGAACAAAUACACAGGGGUCCUAGGAGUCUACAAUUGCCAAGGGGCAGCUUGGAACCGCGUUGAAAGGAAGAACACAUUCCACCAAACGAAAUAUGAGGCUAUAACAGGAGCCAUAAGGAGCCGCGAUGUCCACCUCAUUGCUGAAGCAGCCACUGAUUCCAGCUGGAACGGUGACUCUGUUAUUUAUGGCCAUAGAACCGGAGAACUUACUACUCUUCCUUACAAUGUAUCAAUGCCGGUGUCACUCAAAGUUCUUGAGCAUGACAUGUUCACUGUAACACCCAUCAAGGUUUUAGCACUCGGAUUCAGCUUUGCACCCUUUGGGCUCAUAGACAUGUACAAUGCUGGUGGAGCCAUUGAGAGGCUUAAAUAUGAAGUGAAAGGAGGUGCGAAACUAUCAGAGUUUGAGGAAGGAUAUAAGGGUGAAAACAGUGGCGUAAGUGAUGAGAGAGUAGAAAAUUGCAACAGUGAAUUGGUUGGGGAAGUGUACAUGGAGGUUAAAGGGUGUGGCAGGUUUGGUGCUUAUUCGGCAACUAAACCAAAGAAGUGCAUUGUGGACUCAAACUUGGUUGAUUUUAUGUAUGAUUCAUCUGCUGGUUUGUUUACUUUUUGCUUGGAUAGCUUGCCUGAUGAAGGUAAACUUCAUGUCGUUAAGGUUGAGCUGUAGAUUAAUAUUGGUUUGGCUUCAUUCUUUUUAGCUUAGAUAGCUUGCCUGAUGAAGCUGGUAAACCUCAUGUUGUUGAGGUAUGAGUUGUAGUUUAUUAUGUAUUGGAUAGAUGCUAGGGAAUUCAGGAAUCAUUUUUCCCUUCAAUUUUCUUCCUUCUUUCAGGUCCAGGAGUUCAUAGAGUGAUGUAAUUUAUAGUUGGAAGGGAAUAACUGUAAACUAUCUGAACAUCAUCAACAUUCAUUUCAUGAUACUCUAAGCAUUAAGCUGCUAAAUUUCAAUUGUCUUCUAAAAAUUCUCAACUUUGAUUUUUAG